rnacentral:rRNA from 1 species
AUUGAACGCUGGCGGCAGGCCUAACACAUGCAAGUCGAACGGUAACAGGAAGAAGCUUGCUUCUUUGCUGACGCGUGGCGGACGGGUGAGUAAUGUCUGGGAAACUGCCUGAUGGAGGGGGAUAACUACUGGAAACGGUAGCUAAUACCGCAUAACGUCGCAAGACCAAAGAGGGGGACCUUCGGGCCUCUUGCCAUCGGAUGUGCCCAGAUGGGAUUAGCUAGUAGGUGGGGUAACGGCUCACCUAGGCGACGAUCCCUAGCUGGUCUGAGAGGAUGACCAGCCACACUGGAACUGAGACACGGUCCAGACUCCUACGGGAGGCAGCAGUGGGGAAUAUUGGACAAUGGGCGCAAGCCUGAUGCAGCCAUGCCGCGUGUAUGAAGAAGGCCUUCGGGUUGUAAAGUACUUUCAGCGGGGAGGAAAGGAGUAAAGUUAAUACCUUGGCUCAUUGACGUUACCCGAAGAAGAAGCACCGGCUAACUCCGUG